rnacentral:rRNA from 1 species
GAUGAACGCUAGUGGCAGGCUUAAUACAUGCAAGUCGAGGGGUAGCAAGAUUGUAGCAAUACAAUUGUUGACGACCGGCAAACGGGUGCGGAACACGUACACAACCUUCCUACAAGUGGGGAAUAGCCCAGAGAAAUUUGGAUUAAUACCCCGUAACAUAGCGAUGUGGCAUCACAUUGCUAUUAUAGCUUCGGCGCUUGUUGAUGGGUGUGCGGCUGAUUAGAUAGUUGGCGGGGUAACGGCCCACCAAGUCUACGAUCAGUAGCUGAUGUGAGAGCAUGAUCAGCCACACGGGCACUGGGACACGGGCCCGACUCCUACGGGAGGCAGCAGUAAGGAAUAUUGGACAAUGGACGCAAGUCUGAUCCAGCCAUGCCGCGUGAAGGAUUAAGGUCCUCUGGAUUGUAAACUUCUUUUAUAAGGGACGAAAAAAGGUCUUUCUAGAUCGUCUGACGGUACCUUAUGAAUAAGCACCAGCUAACUCCGUGCCAGCCGCCGCCGUAAGAC